rnacentral:rRNA from 1 species
CCAAUAGCGUAUAUUAAAGUUGUUGCAGUUAAAAAGCUCGUAGUUGAAUUUCGGGGUCAGUAGGUUGGUCGUGCCACUGGUAUGUACUGGCCUUACUGAUUCCUCCUUCUUGUAGAACCGUAAUGCCAUUAAUUUGGUGUUGCGGGGAAACAGGACUGUUACUUUGAAAAAAUUAGAGUGUUUAAAGCAGGCUAACGCUUGAAUACAUUAGCAUGGAAUAAUGAAAUAGGACGUUCGAUCCUAUUUUGUUGGUUUCUAGGAUUGACGUAAUGAUUAAUAGGGAUAGUUGGGGGCAUUAGUAUUCAAUUGUCAGAGGUGAAAUUCUUGGAUUUAUUGAAGACUAUCUACUGCGAAAGCAUUUGCCAAGGAUGUUUUCAUUAAUCAAGAACGAAAGUGAGGGGAUCGAAGACGAUCAGAUACCGUCGUAGUCUUAACCAUAAACUAUGCCGACUAGGGAUCGGAUGAUGUUAAUUUUUUAAUGACUCAUUCGGCGCCUUACG